rnacentral:rRNA from 1 species
AAAACGCAGACAGUGGAUGCCUUGCCUCUUACUUCCUAAGAAGGACGUACAUGGCGACGAAACUCGUCGGGGAGCUGCCACGAAGCUUUGAUCCGGCGGUGUCCGAAUGGGGAAACCCACCGCGUAAGCGGUACUUAAAACCCAAAGGGUUCGAGUAAUCGAAUCUAUAAGUUUUAGGAGGGAACCACCCGAACUGAAACAUCUAAGUAGGGUGAGGAAGAGAAAUCAACGAGAUUGCGUCAGUAGCGGCGAGCGAAAGCGCAAGAGCCUAAACCAUCCUUUGCUCCGCAAGGAGUUUUGGAUGGGGUUGCGGGACUCCGAUCUGGGAGUAGUUUGGAUAGAAGAACAACUCGGAAUAGUUGGCCAGAGAAGGUGAAAGCCCUGUAAAUUAAAUCUAAAUUACCUCUAGGAGUAUCCCAAGUACCAUGGGGCACAUACCCUGUGGGAAUCUGGGGGAACCAUCCUCCAAGGCUAAAUAAAGUAAGAGAGCGAUAGCGAACUAGUACCGUGAGGGAAAGGCGAAAAGAAGGGCGGAACGCCCAGUGAAAUAGAACCUGAAACUAUCUGCGGACAAACCGAGAGAGCCGUGCUUGCACGGUGAUCUCGUGCCUAUUGAAGAAUGAACCGGCGAGUUGUCGUACACAUCAAAAGUCUAAGGGCAGCAAUGCUCGUAGGCGUAGGGAAACCGAGUCUUAAAAGGCGAAUAGGUGUGUGUGGCAGACCCGAAACCAGGCGAGCUAACCGCGAGCAGGGUGAACCCCGGCGAAAGCUGGGGGGAGGCCCGAACCCGUUGUCGUUGCAAUGACAUGGGAUGACUUACGGUUAGAGGCAAAAUACCAACCGAGCUUGGAGAUAGCUGGUUCUCCCCGAAAGGUCUAUAGGGACCGUGGUGCUUAAAGUGCGUUGGGGGUAGAGCACUGGAUGGGUAAGGGAGCGUAAGCAACUUUACUCACAGUCACAUCGGGCUAAGCUGAUGUGGCGAGAGGGAAACAUCCCAGACUUUCAGCUAAGGCCUCUAAAUCUAUCUUAAGUUUAAAAGGAAGUUCUUUUCCAAAGACAGCCAGGAGGUUGGCUCAGAAGCAGCCACCCUUUAAAGAAAGCGUAACAGCUCACUGGUCGAUUGGAAAGGGGCGCCUAAAAUUUAUCGAGGAUAAAGGUAGUGCCGAAGCUAAAGAUUUGCCGCAAGGCAUCUGGUAGGGGAGCGUUCCAUAAGCAGUGAAGUCGUCUUGUAAGAGAUGGUGGAGCUUAUGGAAGUACCGAAUACCCAAGGAUUCCGUCGCUAGGUUCGUCCACGACGGGUUAAUCGGUACCUAAGGCGAGGCCAAUUUGGCGUAGUCGAAGGACAACUAGUCAAAAUUCUAGUAUUUAUUUUGAUUCGUUUCCGCGCAAGCGGCAUGCGCAAGCAUGAUAACUGGGGGAUGACUUGGGUGGAUAGUUGGAGCCGGAACGUGAAGUCCGGUGUAAGCUGUUAAGUAGUAUCAGCUGGUAAAUCCGCUGAAACGAUUAAUUGAGCAGUGAUGCAAAGUCCUACGAGAGUGGGGCAAUUCCGACGAUUUCACCUAACAAGAAAAGUCUCGCAGUGAGAAUCAAAGUAAGCCGUACCACAAACCGACACAGGUGGGUUGGGCGAGUAGCCUAAGGUGAGCGAGAGAAGGAUGUUCAAGGAAUUCGGCAAAAAAUCUACCCGUAACUUUGGGAGAUGGGUUGCCCCGAUUAUAUCGGGGCUGCAACUAA